AAAAGCGGUUGAAAAGAACGCAGAUAAAGUGCAGGAAACCUGGCCACCGACCCAACCACAAUUCAGAAACGAAGCGACAGACAUCGGCAGGCCAGACAGCGGGAUGAAACAGUCGCUAAGGAUUAAGUGUUUCUUUGUUUGUUUAUGGGUCUUUGUCGCUUUUAUACAAGACAAGUGCGUGAAAGGUGCGCCAACACUCAAAGAGCGAAAAAGAACACAGGCGAGAACGUAUUUGCUUAAAUAAAUUGUCUAAAUCGAUUCCAG